CCUAGGGAAUUCCAUCCCCAUAGAACCUCAGGGAUCCCAUCCCCCGGGAAUUCCAUCCCCAUAGAACCUCAGGGAUCCCAUCCCCAGGGAAUUUCAUAUCAGGGAACCCUGGGAUCCCAUCCCCAGGGAAUUCCAUCCCAGGGAACCCUGGGAUCCCAUCCCCAGGGAAUUCCAUCUCAGGGAACCCCAGGGAUCCCAUUCCUAGGGAAUUCCAUCCCCCGGGAAGCCCAGGCAUCCCGUCCCCAGGGAACCCACCCAUCCCCAGGGAAUCCCAGGAACCCCGUCCCCACCGAAUUCCAUCCCCAGGGAACCCCAGGGAAUUCCAUCCCCAGGGAAUUCCAUCCCCAGGGAACCCCAGGGAAUUCCAUCCCCAGGGAAUUCCAUCCCCAGGGAAUUCCAUCUCAGGGAACCCCAGGGAUCCCAUCCCCAGGGAAUUCCAUCCCCAUAGAACCUCAGGGAUCCCAUCCCCAGGGAAUUCCAUCUCAGGGAACCCCAGAUAUCCCAUCCCCAGGGAACUGGGGAUCCAUCCCUACGGAACCCCAGGAAUCCCAUUCCUCUGGAACUGAGGAUCCCAUCCCCAGGGAACCCCAGGGAUCCCAUCCCCAGGGAAUCCCAUCCCUCCAGAACCAGGGGAUCCUAUCCAGGGGGAUCCUCCCGGAUCCCAUCCCUAGGGAAUCCCAUCCCCAAGGAACUCGGGGGAUCCCAUCCCCAGGGAAUCACAUCCCUCCAGAACCAGGGGAUCCUAUCCAGGGGGAUCCUCCCGGAUCCCAUCCCCAGGGAACCUCUGGGAACCCAAUCCCCUAUGGAACCCCAGGGAUCCCAUCCCCAGGGAACUGGGGAUCCAUCCCUACAGAACCCAUUCCUCUGGAACCAGGGAUCCCAUCCCCAGGGAACCCCAGGGAUCCCAUCCCUAUGGAACUGGGAACCCUAUCCCUCCAAAACCUCCUUCCCCUUCUUUCUCCCACCUCAUUCCAUGGAUCUGGAGCUUUCCCCCUGAAUUCCCAAUUCUCAGGAGGUUUUUCUGGGAUUUUUCCCUCAGGAUUUUUCCCCUGAAUUCCCAAUUCCUCCGGGUUUUUCCCUCAGGAUUUUCCCCCUGAACUCCCAAUUCCCAGGAGGUUUUCCUUGGGGUUUUCCCUCAGGAUUUUUCCCCCGAAUUCCCAAUUCUCAGGAGGUUUUUCUGGGAUUUUUCCCUCAGGAUUUUUCCCCUGAAUUCCCAAUUCCCAGGAGGUUUUCAUGAGAUUUUUCCUUCAGGAUUUUCCCCCUGAACUCCCAAUUCCCAGGAAAUUUUCAUGGGAUUUUCCCUUCAGGAUUUUUCCCCUGAAUUCCCAAUUCCUUGGGGGUUUUCCUUGGGUUUUUCCCUCAGGAUUUUCCCCCUGAACUCCCAAUUCCCAGGAAAUUUUCAUGGGAUUUUCCCUUCAGGAUUUUUCCCCUGAAUUCCCAAUUCCUCGGGGUUUUUCUGGGAUUUUUCCCUCAGGAUUUUUCCCCUGAAUUCCCAAUUCCUCGGGGUUUUUCUGGGAUUUUUCCCUCAGGAUUUUUCCCCUGAAUUCCCAAUUCCUCCGGGUUUUUCUGGGAUUUUUCCCUCAGGAUUUUUCCCCUGAAUUCCCAAUUCCUCGGGGUUUUUCUGGGAUUUUUCCCUCAGGAUUUUUCCCCCGAACUCCCAAUUCCCAGGAGGUUUUCCUUGGGGUUUUCCCUCAGGAUUUUUCCCCCGAACUCCCAAUUCCCAGGAGGUUUUUAUGGUAUUUUUCCUUCAGAAUUUUUCCCCUGAACUCCCAAUUCCCAAGAGGUUUUCACUGGAUUUUUCCUUCAGGAUUUUUAUCCUGAAUUCCCAAUUCCCAGGAGGUUUUCACUGGAUUUUUCCUUCAGAAUUUUCCCCCUGAACUCCCAAUUCCCAGGAGUUUUUUCUGGGAUUUUCCCCUCAGGAUUUUUCCCCUGAAUUCCGAAUUCCCAGGAAAUUUUCCAUGGGCCUUUCCCUUAGGAUUUUUCCCCUGAAUUCCAAAUUCCCAGGAAAUUUUCCUUGGGUUUUUCCCUCAGGAUUUUUCCCCUGAACUCCCAA
ensembl:lncRNA